CAGGUCUUGACAUCCUCUGACAACCCUAGAGAUAGGGCUUUCCCUUCGGGGACAGAGUGACAGGUGGUGCAUGGUUGUCGUCAGCUCGUGUCGUGAGAUGUUGGGUUAAGUCCCGCAACGAGCGCAACCCUUGAUCUUAGUUGCCAGCAUUCAGUUGGGCACUCUAAGGUGACUGCCGGUGACAAACCGGAGGAAGGUGGGGAUGACGUCAAAUCAUCAUGCCCCUUAUGACCUGGGCUACACACGUGCUACAAUGGACGGUACAAAGAGUCGCAAGACCGCGAGGUGGAGCUAAUCUCAUAAAACCGUUCUCAGUUCGGAUUGUAGGCUGCAACUCGCCUACAUGAAGCUGGAAUCGCUAGUAAUCGCGGAUCAGCAUGCCGCGGUGAAUACGUUCCCGGGCCUUGUACACACCGCCCGUCACACCACGAGAGUUUGUAACACCCGAAGUCGGUGGGGUAACCCUUACGGGAGCCAGCCGCCUAAGGUGGGACAGAUGAUUGGGGUG
rnacentral:rRNA from 1 species